rnacentral:rRNA from 1 species
UACGUAGGGGGCUAGCGUUGUCCAGAAUCAUUGGGCGUAAAGCGCGCGUAGGCGGCCCGGUAAGUCCGCUGUGAAAGUCAAAGGCUCAACCUUUGAAUGUCAGCGGAUACUGCCAGGCUAGAGUCCGGAAGAGGCGAGUGGAACUCCUGGUGUAGCGGUGGAAUGCGCAGAUAUCAGGAAGAACACCAACGGCGAAGGCAGCUCGCUGGGACGGAACUGACGCUAAGGCGCGAAAGCGUGGGGAGCGAACAGGG